GUGUUAAAAAAGACAUUUAUUUCUGGAAUACUGAGACGAUAAUAGCUGUACUGUACUUUUUACUGCAGUAUUCACUGGAUGAAUAUUAGGAGGAAAAGAGUCAUUGAGAUGAAGGAGGAGAGGGUCCAUGACUUGGGCAUUGGAGUAGGAUUUGGGGUGAGACAGUGUAACCUGAGGGCAGAUCCACCAAAUGCAUCAGCAGCAGGGCCCGCGGCCACGGCAGCAGGACCAUCUCCUGGGGAAGGUGCAAACGCAUCUAGGGUAUUGCAGACGAAAAACAGCCGGAACGCGAACACAAAACAAAAGCAGGCAGGCCGCGUCUGCAUCCUACCCUCCACCUACACUGACCUCCGAAAAGGUCGAUGUCUGCGGCUGAGGUGGUGGAGGCAGGAGCAGAGAUGGGCAGCGAGGUGGGCGCCUGCGCAGCCGCAGCAGUGGUGGAACGAGCAGGGGCUAUGGGCGGGGCAGCCACGGGGGCAGCAGCAGCCGCAGCAUUGGCAUCAGCAGGCUCUUUCUUUGCCAGGAGAGAUUCAGAGGCUCCGUCGGUAGCGGCCGGAGUCGCUACGCAGAUAAACCCCGCAAUCCGAACGCCACGACCCAGUCACAACCCCCAAAAGAGAGGAAGAAACAGCAGGAGAGAAAAUAGGGAAGAAGGAGCGAGACGGCAGCGUCAAAGUGAGUGAAAAGUUUAAAAAAAAAGAAAAUUCAGAACUGCAGGUUGAGAGACAAGUUGAACAGUGGAUGCCUGCAGGCGACGCUGUCAACAGAGUACUUACCCAAGAGAUCUUCGAGACAGCACAAACAAAAACAAAGAGAGAGAGAGGUCAGAGACAGUGAAUGACUGAGUUAAAAAAGAGAUAUACUUUUAAAUUAUGCAGAUGCUCCAAGUAAUGAUUUUUUUGGUUAAUUUGAGAGCUUCCAACCUUUUACAGGAAAAGCCAGAAAAGCAGAGAUGGGACAAAAGCAAAUCCAAUUGAGUGAAAG
ensembl:lncRNA